rnacentral:miRNA from 2 species
UGUUGUACAUUUUCGUGCCUAUAA